UACGUAGGGGGCAAGCGUUGUCCGGAAUCACUGGGCGUAAAGGGUGCGUAGGCGGUUUUGCAAGUCUGAAGUGAAAGUUCGGGGCUUAACCCUGAGAGUGCUUUGGAAACUGUAGAACUUGAGUGCUGGAGAGGCAAGGGGAAUUCCACGUGUAGCGGUGAAAUGCGUAGAGAUGUGGAGGAAUACCAGUGGCGAAGGCGCCUUGCUGGACAGUUACUGACGCUGAGGCACGAAAGCGUGGGGAGCAAACAGG
rnacentral:rRNA from 1 species